rnacentral:rRNA from 1 species
AUUGAACGCUGGCGGCAUGCCUUACACAUGCAAGUCGAACGGUAACAGGUCUUCGGAUGCUGACGAGUGGCGAACGGGUGAGUAAUACAUCGGAACGUGCCUAGUAGUGGGGGAUAACUACUCGAAAGAGUGGCUAAUACCACAUGAGAUCUACGGAUGAAAGCAGGGGAUCGCAAGACCUUGUGCUACUAGAGCGGCCGAUGGCAGAUUAGGUAGUUGGUGGGAUAAAAGCUUACCAAGCCGACGAUCUGUAGCUGGUCUGAGAGGACGAUCAGCCACCCUGGGACUGAGACACGGCCCAGACUCCUACGGGAGGCAGCAGUGGGGAAUUUUGGACAAUGGGCGAAAGCCUGACCCAGCAAUGCCGCGUGCAGGAUGAAGGCCUUCGGGUUGUAAACUGCUUUUGUACGGAACGAAAAGCCCCGGGUUAAUACCCUGGGGUCAUGACGGUACCGUAAGAAUAAGCACCGGCUAACUACGUGCCAGCAGCCGCAGUAA